AAGAAUUGCUUAAAAUAUACAGGUAUCCAAAAGUCAUCUCUGAAAAGUGUAGCUCAGUGUAACUGAGGUAAGGUGUGUGUGGUGGUUAAUAUUCAGCAUCAACUUGAUUGGACUGAUGGAUGCAAAGUAUUGUUCCUAGGUGUGUCUGUGAGGGUGCUGCCUAAGGAGAUUAACAUUUGAGUCAGUGGACCGGGAGAGGCAGACCCACCCUCAAUAUGGGUGGGCACAUCUAAUCAACUGCCAGCAUGGCUAGAAUAAAGCAGGCAGAAGAAGGUGGAAUGACCUGACUUGCUGAGACUUCAGGCCUUCAUCUUUCUCCUGUGCUGGAUGCUUCCUGCCCUAGAACAUCAGACUGCAAGUUCUUUAGCUUUUGGACUCUCGGACUUAUGCCAGUGAUUUGCCAGGUGCUCUUAGACCUUUGGCCACAGACUGACGGCUGCGCUGUCGGCUUCCCUGCUUUUGAAGUGUUGGUAGUCAGACUGACUUCUUGCUCCUCAGCUUGCAGAUGGCCUAUCUUGGGACUUCACCGUGUGAUCGUAUCCUUCCCUGAGAUUCUUCAAGUCAUAUGCCUUCUACCGCUGCCCACAAAGCGGAAAGCCUCCUUGGAGCCAUUUAAGUUUCAAACUGUGAACCUGCCUCACCUCAAGGAUAUUCCCUUAGUAAUAAAAAUAAUGUGGAAGGCUUUAAGUACUUUGAAGUAG
rnacentral:lncRNA from 1 species